AGGCUGACAAUCUUUUAACUGCUGGUAUGAUUUUUGGAUCCCUCGUCAUAAUUGGUGGACUAUUAUAUAAUGCAACUGGAUCUGAAAGAAAGUAGCAAGUAUGAAAAUAUUUAUGACACCUGAAAUGGUACGUCAACAUCGUUGUUUAUAGCAUUUUUUCGUAUAACAAUUCAAUCAUCUGUUUACUUUUAUGAAAUGAUACCGUUUAGAGUAUAUUUACAAUAGGUCUAAAUACAUUGUACAUAUGUUCACACAUAUUCAAACUUUUCUUCGAUUUCAUUGAAAAAGUAUUAUUUGUACUUAAUACAAUGUAAACGCCAUGCAUGACUUAAAUUAACUUAAUGAUAUUGAUGAAAUGUUAUUAUGUAUCUUUGGUUUGAUUUUUUUUUUGGUUUCUCUCGUAACAUGUGUUAGGAAAGUAGACGUAAUAUUAUUUCUUUUAAUUUCCUCUUUAUGUUUGUUUAAUCCAAUUGUGUAACCUUGCUGAAGUUAAAAAAAGCAACAAAAUAAUAAAAUCUGUGUUAUGCAAAGUGUGCUUUGUGUAAGGACACAUACAACUGGUCGAAAAACUAUCUGAAUAUUCGUAAACCGACAUUCAAUUUGAAAUAACAAUUUCCAUGUUACCUGUUAUAAUUAUUAUUACCAGGGCAUAUGCAAAGAAUUUAAAAUUGUUUUAGAAAUUUAUCAAGUUUUGUCCAUACUCAGCGGUUUUUUUGUUUAAAGGUAUUUGUACUUACUCCUAUUAACAUAAGUUAGUAUGUUGAAAACAAUAUAUAAAAAGGUUGAUCUAUAUUCAAGUAAGACAUAAGAAGUUUAAUACAGGGGUUAAUGCUCUAGUAACAUUAACGGUACUAGUUUGUCUGCACCAGAUGCGCAUUUCGACUAUAAAUUUUUGUAACGUGAUUUUCGAGGUAAAACUUUUGAUAUAGGUAUACUGUUUCAAUCUUUCAUCCAAUGAACAAAUAAGAAGAACUCAUUUAAAAGAGAAUAUUAAUUUAUCAUUACAUCUCGUUGUGCUUUUAGUUUUUAAUUACAGAAGACACAUUCGUGGAGACAUUAACAAAGUCAUUCCGUGCAUGCAGAAUUAUAAUGAGUCUAGUAUUAACUGUAUAUAAGUCACGUUAAUCGGGAAUGUUUUAUUUUAAAAAUUGUUUAUGAAGUGACGUAUAUUCAUACAUCAUUAGCUUGAGUUGUAGUGGUCAUUUUCCAGAAUGUAUGCUGGUAAAAAGAAAAUAACAACAGUUACUAAACUAUGACACAUUAUAUGCAUACUAAACACUUAAAAGUCAGUAUUUUGUCUUAAACGUAACCGAUAUUGAAACUGUUUCUUUCAAUGAAUCCAUGUAGUACCAUUUUACUGUUUCAUUAUAUGGAACAUGUAGAAUACAAGUAUUUUUUUUUUCAAUUCCAGGUGAUAGAAAUAUAUUAUGACUGUUCAACCCAUAUAAGAACAAAGUGUAGAUUACUGUACUUUAAAUGAACAAUAGUGGAAUAAAAAAUGUUAUUGAUACCAAUAUUGUCUCUCAUCUAAGUAUUAGAAUCGGCUAGACAAAUAUUUUUACAAUGCGAAUAUUGUCACUACCAUACUCAAUCUUGUUAACUGUUUCAAUCAACAUGACCUGCAGAAGAACACAUGCACAGUUUUUACGGCAAAGUAAUAUUUAAUUUUGACAUGCCUUAUUAGUCAUAAUUGUUUUUUCUUCCACAGUAUCUAUUACAAAAACCCUUUUAUCUAUCCAUUGAACCAAGGCUUUCGUUAAAAGGGCAUAUCAUGUAAGGACAUGAAGAGAUAAACUUUAUUUUACUAAGUAUGCAUUAACUUUUGUAAUACAUGUAUUUUUUGAUAAAAGUUUUAUGCAUUUUCUUUCAUCUUUUUCUUGAGAAUAUAUUCACACAGGUUGAGGUGAUUCGGUCUUAAAAGGACGACAGUUCGUGUGACAAAGGUCAAAAUACUAGCUACUUCACAAUGUUUUGAUGACUAUUGGAAGAACAACUCAUACAAUAACAUAUGAGUAAUUUUUUGAAGAAUUACGAUAAUAACGAAAAUUCAUAUCAAGCAUACAUGAUAGAAACUUGACUGUUGGUUUUCUUAUGUCUUACACUCUUUGCUACUUGUAAGUUUUAGGUGGAAGAGAGCUCUUUGAAAAUUUCUAAUUAUUUUGCACGAACACAAAAAAAUUAUCGGUAUUAACUUUUCAUUCAUAUACGGUGGGGGUAUAAAUCAAAACCUACAGAAUGAUUGUUUGUUAUUUUUUUGUAAGAAAAAGUAUAUGUUACAAUCGAGAUACAAUUUGCUUAGCGUGAACAGAUUUUUUAAGGAUUAUAUUUUGGAUAAUCUCUGUUAUGGGAAUAGAAAAAACUAACGGUAUGAGCCAAGACUCCGUGGUGAAAACCGUAAUUUUAAUCUAUCUGCCUAUAAUGUUUUUUUCUUUAACAAAUUGUGACUUAGAUGCAGAAUUGUCUUUUUGUAAUUUUUGGUCUUCAAUACUCUUCAACUUUAUACUUAUUUGGCUUUAUAACUAUAUUGAUCUGAGCGUCACGGGUGACUCUUAUGUAGACGAAACGAGCGUCAGGCGUAUCAAAUGCGUAUCAGAAUUAGUUGAAUAAAUACCGUUAAUGUUAUCAAAACGAUCACAUUCGAACAUUUUUUUUCAUGGCAGACAGUACAUGUGAAAAAGAAUAAACUUUACGGAUUUGCUGAAACAAAUUCUUUCUUGAAUCAUUAGGCAAUGACUAAACAAGUCCACAUGAAAGGUGUUGAGUUUAAAUAUAACAGCUUGUGUUCAGCUAAAUAGAUCUAUCUCUUGUAGAUAAUAAUAUGCCAUGGGUCAACGUUUUGUAUUGAUGAAUUUUAUAUUGCGUUCAACAUUAGACAAAAACACUACCAGACAUUUGACACUCAUAUCACAUAU
rnacentral:lncRNA from 1 species